rnacentral:rRNA from 1 species
CCUACGGGUGGCAGCAGUGGGGAAUAUUGGACAAUGGGGGGAACCCUGAUCCAGCCAUGCCGCGUGUGUGAAGAAGGCCCUCGGGUUGUAAAGCACUUUCAGUGAGGAAGAACGCCUGGUGGUUAAUACCCAUCAGGAAAGACAUCACUCACAGAAGAAGCACCGGCUAACUCCGUGCCAGCAGCCGCGGUAAUACGGAGGGUGCGAGCGUUAAUCGGAAUUACUGGGCGUAAAGCGCGCGUAGGUGGCUUGAUAAGCCGGUUGUGAAAGCCCCGGGCUCAACCUGGGAACGGCAUCCGGAACUGUCAAGCUAGAGUGCAGGAGAGGAAGGUAGAAUUCCCGGAGUAGCGGUGAAAUGCGUAGAGAUCGGGAGGAAUACCAGUGGCGAAGGCGGCCUUCUGGACUGACACUGACACUGAGGUGCGAAAGCGUGGGUAGCAAACAGGAUUAGAUACCCGUGUAGUC